rnacentral:tRNA from 2 species
GGUCUUGUGGUCUAGUGGUAUGAUUCUCGCUUAGGGCUCACCCUAAUGCAAAAUGUUUGCGAGAGGCCCCGCGUUCGAGUCGCGGCAAGACCC